UGCUCUCAGUUUCUCACUUGCAAUACUCUUCGUGCCAAUGUUGAUUGCAGAUUCUUUACCAUGUGUGUGCACAUCCUUCUUUAGACCACAACUGGAAAAACUGUGGGGUGGUUCCUGCUCAGGGUCUCCUUAACUGCAAACCCACAAACUGCUUCCAUUUCUCUUGGUACCUUCUUCAAAAGCACAGCACUUUUGUAAUACCCUGCUAGCGUGAGACCUAGUGAUGGUUCACAAAGUAACAAAUACUACAGUAAUAGUUUAUAGAAAAGAAAACACUUUUACUGCAAAGGCAAUUUUGCAAAUUUUGGUAGCAAUGAAAUCCAACCAUUCCAAUGCAAUGGACUGCCAUGGAAAAUGUCUGCCACUGGCAAAGGCUCUGGAAAAAAAAAGUAAGUCACUUUUUUAUCAAAAAGGUAGUGAGAUAUCUGUUGGUACAACCUAUGGCUUUUAAUGUGCUGGUAUGUCACUGAGAGUGUCCCUGAUGCACACAGGGGAGGUAAGGGCACUUAGAGGGCAGCUCCACUCAGCUUUCUAGAAAAGUCAAAGGUUCCUGGUUCCACUUGUGGAGUCACUUCAUAUGCAGCAAUUGUAUUACCUUGCAAGAUUGUUUUUGGUGUCAGGGUUUUUCUGGAAGUCAGUGUGCUUCCUAUAGGCCAAGCAGGCCACUGCAGGAAUUUCAUUGUGUUUCCCUUUUUAAUGGAAAUUGCAAAUACAUUUCCAGACACAGCUCUGGAAAUACCCCAACAGCAGCCUCUAUCACCUCUUCAGUGUUUAGGAUUGAGCAGUGCCUGUGUCUCAGCUUUCACCUACAUGGAGUGAAAUGCCUAAAAAUGUUAAGAAAUUGCGUCUGCCUUAAUGUCAUCACUGCUAUCCUACCUAAUAAAUAUUUUCCUAAAAAAACCUCAUUCCUCUCUCUCUGAGGAAGACUAUUUCCAUGGAGGUAAGCAGUGAUAGGUAAGUGGUAUUUGUGUACUUGGUGACAUCUGUUUUAUUGGGCGGAGCACUCGAUAACUUGCAUCACCCUCUGAUUCAUACAAUCAUCUGACCUUCAUCUAACUGCUGCUCUGCUUUUAUUUCCUUUUCUCCUUACGAGUUACAGUAAAGGAAAUUCUUCCUGUGCUCCAUACACAAUGCUUCCUUUCAUUCAAGGUUUGGUUGUGCUUUUAGCAUUUAAAAAAACAACCAGUAUAACCAUCUACUGAAAUAGCACAGGAUCAAGUCACACGUUCCUCUCCCUUCACAUUUAGCCUCCCCACAGAUUACACGCACUCCAGGAGUUGCUGUACUUUGGGCACAGCCUUCUCUCCUGGCUGAAAUCCCAGCUGGGAGAUGCUGCAGCCCCUCAGGGUGGGUCUGUGGGGUUUGCUGUGAGGGUUCCUCCCUGUUGGGUGUAUGGACAAGUAAGCAGGUCUUCCAGGAGGAGUCUAAUUCUGCUGGCUCUGUCUGAUGCUGUACCUUCAGCUCCUGCUCUGCCCUGGUGUGGCUGUUCCUCUGGGUACCCACUUGUGUCCCUCCCUUGCAGCUGAGGAAGGACAGCCAUCUCUCUGGAGCAACUUUCUGAAGCAUGAAGGAGACAGUUUGUCCUGUUAUGCUGCUGUCAUCAUGUGAGCAGGCUGUAUGCUUCUGCAUUUGAAGACUAAAACUGAAUGCUGAAAACAGGAACUUUCUGGAAAUUCCGCAUGCCUGAAAUGUAAUGGUUUCAGUGAGUUUCCUGAUAUCAUCUCAUCCAUGUGGUUGUGCUUGGAUGGGGGAACUAAACAUGUCAUUAGCUCUGUAGGGUCACUAAAAUUUGAAGAAGAGAUCAUAAGGAAUCUUAAGGAUGCGUGACAUCCUGCGAAGACAGAUGAUAAAAGCAACUACACUUGACAGUGAGCCCUUCAAGGCGAGGCAACCCAGUUAAGAGCAUGGAGGAACUGAGCUCUUGCUAACUCAUGUCAGCAGGAGUUGUUUAUCCCCUCUUCAUCAAAAAAAUCAGACUGACAGCAUUGAAAGUGACUAAAACCAGAGGAUGAUACAGGGAAUUUUGGCCUUCAUAACUUUGCAAUGACUUCACUGAUCAUUCCUGGCUCCCAGACCUGGCCUGAUUCUACUAAACUGUGCAACAUUUAUUCGUAAUCAAAUUAUAGUUUAUACACAGGCACAAAAACACAAACACAGAGACAUGUAUCUUCCUACAAACACAUCAAAUGUCUGCAAACAAAGCUGAAAGCUGACCUGAUGCUGGCUGAAUUGUCACUGUAGUCUAAGCUACAAUAGUAAAAUGCGUGGUUGCAAAGAAUCCUAACAUCAGCAGCAGGAGAAUGGUAAGAAAUGCAGGUCUUUCCCAGCCUUGGUCUCGAUUCAAAUGCUGUAAUAUUUCUUGUAGGAUUUCACAAAUAAGUAGAGUGUAUUUGAUUGCAUAAAACAGUGAAAUUGCCUGUCAGGCGUUUAUUCAGAGUUUCUUAAUCUAGAUGAUUUCCAGUUAAGAGAAAGUCUAGACCGUUGGCCUGUUCUUUGGCAGAAGAGAAGUUUUUUAUUAUUUUUUCACAUGCUCGGAGAAUUACUCAAUUUACUAAAAAAGGGGAAGGACUGAGAUCCUAUUUACUCUAAUUUUUAUAAUAUUUAAACUGGCUGCUCUCUCUAGGCAUACCUUGUGCUUUUACCAGCUCAACAUUGUUGAUCAAAGUGUUCUCCAGUAACAAAUGCCACAGAUACACAGAAUGGUCACAUUGAGUUAUGCAAGUGUUUGGCUUUUUGCCUCUGAAAAUAGCUACUCAGUAGAAAAAUACAAAUCCCGUUGCAUGUUCUCUCUGGGUUAUAACAGGUCACAGACAAAAUCCUCACCGUUUGUGAAAUCUUCUUGCAGUUUAUAGUUGUACAACUUUUUACAUCUGUGAAAAAUUAAUGGAAGUAAUAUAACUGAUACCAAAUUACUGUUGGAGAGUUUCCCAUGCCAAGAUUGAUUGCUCUUUUUGUUACUUAAGUCUUCAUCUUAAUCUGUGCCCAGCCCAUUCUUUUACCCACCUUCCACUUUCUAAUGGUUUUUGGCAUGAUGUUUCUGAUGAGAAAUGAAGAAAAUUUUUCAGUUGAAGCUGUAGCCUGAUUUUAGCAACAAAGAACAUGCAAAUGAAGCAGUCACUAGACUCCAGAUUGCCUGCUGUCAGGGCAGGUUUUCCCCCGCCACCCCCAUCUUUAUUUUUUUCAGGCUUGAGUAUGGAUAUCUGUAUACUGUUUCUGGAUACCUCCAAUAUCUAGACAGGUCCAUAUGUUCUUUUGGGUUUUGUCAACAAAGUGCUGGGACUAGAAUCACAUAUGUGUAGGUUGUGUGUAGCAAAAAUAAAGUGGCAGAAGACAUACAAAAACAUUGAUACAAAAGCCUGUUUCAGACAGAGUUGUUCCAUUGUGGAGUGUGUAGCAAGCCACCAACUCGUGGCUUAGAGCAAAGUAGCUGGGGUCUAAAUGUUAUUUUGUACCUAUUUUGAAUGGUUUUUUUUUUUUUUUCAGUUCCUAUUCUGUCAGACACUGUUGAUAAUGUCGUACACUUACACCAUGCCUGUGCAGUUUGGAUGCUCCAGUGAUUUGGCAGGAAUCCUUUUUUUCCUCAUCCCACUCACUCACAUUCACCAGGGCUUGAGAACUCCAUCAGGGUUGUGGCAGGCCCUGGAUGGACCCUUUAAAGUCACUCAGCAGUGGCAAGGGAGAGGAGUGUCCUCCUUCACACCUGUUGUUUCCCAUACGGACAAGGAAGGAAAUGAGAGAGAUGAGAACAUACAUGUCAGCGUCACAGCCAGCCAGUGUUCUUUCAACACAAACAGCUUUCACUGUCCUCACUGGCAACCUUCAGAGAGUGCAUCAAUGCCUGUCUUUGUGUUCACAGAAACCUUAGUAAAUGAAUAGCAAAUACCCCAAUUCACUUUUCCUUUUCAGAUUGUUCCUGACUUGAGAACCAGGACUCCAUAAGCACUGGCCAAUGAUUAUGUGACACAAAGAUCAGGGUGACAUGUUCCCAACACACUGUGCAUCUCAAGUACUAAAUAUCUGUUACUUCAGAAUUUCCACCUGUCCUCCAUGAAGCCUUCCCUGUGAACACCCCACAAAUUGCCCUCAGCUGAGAGAUGUGUCUUUCAGCUGGGACUAAGAUUUAGGAAAUGAUUACUGCCUCCAGCUGAGCUAUGGCUCAGGCUGCUCUUAGGAGCAGCUGGGGCUUGUCAUUCCCUCUCUUUGCUUGUUAAUAUAAUCUUAAAAGCUUUCAAAGGCUCACUGAAUCCCCAGUCUAUUCACAUCAGCACUCAGCAUAUAGAGACUAUCACAGAUGUGUGACAGUGAACAUGAAAAGCAAGGAAGAUUGCAACUGAAGGUAAAAUGUAAGUAGAGAAGGUGGUCCAUCCCCAGAUUUAAAAGGUGUCAGGCUCCCCAUUUGUUUCUGCGUUGUUGAAAAAGGCUGAAAAAUAAAUGUCUGACUGUCACAAGGAGAUCUGCAAUUGCUUAUGAGUACAUGGCUUCUCUCUUCAGGAAAAAUCUGUAUGUGGAAUGAAAGAUCUUCAGGAAAAAUCUGUACUAGAUUUUUUUUUUUAGAAGGAAAGCCAUGUUAGUCUUGAGUUAAAUAGAUUAAAGAUGGAGGUUUAGUUUUAAAAAACUAAAUAGUAAGCUAACAUUAUAAUAACACAGUAGAAAGAUAAUGAUCUCACAGUUCUGUUUCUUCUUUUCUACUUUUACCAUUAUCCUUUGAACUGAAGCUCUGGAAAUAUGCACAGUGGGGAAAAGUAGCUCCAGUAUUCAGACCAUUUCAUUCUUGCUCUUGAUUUCUCAAAAAUAAUUUGGUAUUUCACUUUUACUUUUAGAAAUGGAAAUUUUGAGCUACAAAAUGCUGUCAUAGCCAAGAGAUCAAUGUUCUUAUGUAGCUACCUGAGCAGUGUUGUGCCAUUUGCAAAAAUGUAACUUUCCUGCAAAAGGUGAACUCUUACAAAAUUCCUAUGAUCCCUUUGCCUCCACAGUUUUUCAGGAAGUUCAUCAGAAUAAGUAUAUAAGGUACCUCUGUCUGAAGAGGUUCUGCCCAUUGGGCAUCCCAGAAUAUUUUGUUUUCCUCUAGUCAGGCAGAGAAUUAAUUUGUGUAUCCUCCUUGUGGUAUGUUAACCACUUAGCUAGUUGCCAAAGAUGUGCACGAAUGUCCAAAGGGAUUUUUUUUCCCCAAAGCUGAGAAAUUAAAACCAAUAGCCCAACUGCCUAACAGGAGAAUGAGAGGAAGGAAAUUGCCAGGCUGUAAUAGAACUCACAGUACACUAAAUACAAAGAAUUCAUAAAAAUAAAAGUUAAAAAUGUGUGCAUGAUAAUUAUGAAUCUUUCCCAGUGGGAGAGGUGAGGAAGUUGAGUUUUACCCUGAGGAAUCUGGGAUGUGCACAUGGUGGUAAAAGGCGUUACAUUAAAAGGCAUCUUUGGGAGUGUCAGCAAAGCAGAACAAUUGAGGGAACAUACUGGGAGGAGAUGUACUCCUUAACUCAGCUGGUCUUCCCAAAUUCACAGAUGCUUGAAGCAGAAACAUCUAAUCUCCUGAGACUGCAACUCAUCCAUAUUAAUAGCAAAGCACCUCUGAUUCUUACAUGAUACAGAUACUGUUAAUUUUCAAUUUGAAAACAUUGCAGUAAGUGAUGAUGCUUUACUUGUGCAGAGAUACAAGCCAGAUAAAGGGGAAGCAAAUUUUCCCCUCUACAUGGACAACGGGCAUCCUGCUUGGCCACUUCCCUUAAUCCCAGCCCUGAAAUUACUCACUUGUGAAAGCCUUUUAAUUGUGUUUAGCCAUGUAAGCUUUACCACGUGGAGACAUUGGCUGUAACACCAGUAAGCAGUAAGGAUCGUAACACUCGUUUCCAUUGUUCUCCAGAUACCUGGGAAAAUAAACCCUAUGGCUGAAAUAGCCCCUGAAAUAAUUGCAGCUAUUAGAGCCAUUACCUACCCAAAUUCAGGUACCUUUUAGUGAGGGAAGUCUUGUUUCAUGGGUCAGGUGAGCCAAGCAAUUAAUUUGGAAUGGCAGCUCUGGUUCCCAUGGAAUACUCGGGGCUCCCUCAUUGUUCCUGUGUCUGGCUGUAGACUAGUGUUCAGGAUGGGAAUUUGUGUGUCAAAGAAAAAGGAAUUUUUAGGGUACUAACUUUAUUCCCACAGUGAGUGUCCACUUCUGUGUUAUGUUCAUUGUAGGAAUGCUGAACACCUGGAAUAGGUGGUAAAAUGAGUUCCCUUCUAAAAACCAAUAGGGCUUAAAUUAUUUCAAAUCCAUGAGAACUCUGACUGCGUAGAUCUCACCAAAAUCUGGGGUUUUCUUGCUAGUUGUUAGUUAAUUUUUUUUUUCCAGCCACCUGCACCUGGAGAAUAUUGAUUAAUUUUUACACAAUCUUUAAAAAUAAACUGAGCUGGUAAAGCGCUUGAUUUGCUAUUACACCUCUGAUUAAAAAAAAAAAAAAAAAAAAAAAA
rnacentral:lncRNA from 1 species